AAAUGUUUUUUUUCUCUGCCUAUGUGAUUAUUAAGUGAUAUUCACCACUGGCUUAGUUAAAUGUGUCUAGUGAUUUACAGCUAAUAAGAUACUUUAAGGAAAUUCCAGGGUAAACUUUCAUUCUGCCAGGGGGAAAGCAAAACUGACAAGUAGAGGGAAAGUAACUCCAGCAGUCAGAAAGACAGACAGACAGACAAGUGGGAAGAGCUGAGAAAGCUCAGCCGGGGGACUAACCCCAGGAGCAAUACCUGCAUGCUAAUAACUCACAGCCCCUUGCUAAAGAGGUUGGCUCGGUAGCUACUGCCUAAACUAGGUGAAAAGAUAGGUACUAUAAGUAAAUUACUUGGUUAUGCUAUCUCCUCAGUGCUUCCCAGAGCCUAAAUUAAGAGCAGGAAGCCAGUCAAUAGUGCAUCCCUCCAAAAUGCCUCCCCACACACUUCAGGUGACCUAAGAGGGUCCGUGCUGGCACCAGCACAGGAGGCUGCAGUCAGGAUGUGGGGGGUGUUGCCACCUGAGCAAUCCCAUAUCUCCCAGGUCCUCACCAGUUCUACACAGCAACAGAUCAUACCAAUGGUUACGUAAAGCUUUUACAGAUUCACUCUCAGGGAUGGUUUUUUGAGCUGUUUUUCUUUAGGGGCUCCUGUUUGUACCUCCUGAUUACUGACCAGCUGUAGCUCCACCAUUUUCAUGACAAGAAACCUGCGUUUGCAGCCCUCUAAGAAGAUAUGACCCUGCCUUUCCAAGCACUAGGACUUGCAACUGAAAGGAGACGUCCCUAACCCAAAAUCAGGUCUCAGGAUGCAUCAAUGACAGACUGGCAUUACCCUAAAGUGCUGGAGGCUUAUUUGAUCACUUUGAGAAGUUUCUCCCACGCCUGCAAGUAGCAGGAAGAAGGCUGUGACAUCAGAAACUUUAAAGAGAGACCUUCCCCAUUCUCCAAGGAUCCAGGGACCCCAGUCUGAAAAACAGAGUCCAGAUGAUCUCUGUGAUGUUGCUCAAUUUCUACUAUUUCAAUGUUAAUGUAUAAGCCUAUCUACUGGACUGGACUUUCACAGUAGUUAUUAAUUUACCUUUUACUUAUUUAUGUAAAAAAAGGGCUAAUGACACUUUCUGAAAUAAUGCUUUGCAAACUUACCCUGUGACUAAGGAACAACAAAAGAUACUUGGUUUAGGGACUAGUAACUAGUUGCAUGUCCAUGCUUUUCUAUAUAAGUCUCAAGUGUCUUUUUUUAUUUGUCUGUGAAGCUUCAUAGGGUUUGAUCUUGCUCAGAUUUGACACUCUGGCUUUAUUGAACUCAUCGAGUGCUUUAUAAAUGCUCAUUAUCUUCAGUAGUUAGGUUUUGUUUCAUUUUGAGCAACAUGGCAGAAUAUAUCCUGAAGAAAAAACUGUCAAAGUUUUUGAAGUUUUACAGCCAAUAUAGCAAGUAUGAUACUGAAUCGAUAAUUCCCAAGUUACCAGUUAUAUGUGAGACUAUCAACACUUUAUCACUAAAUAGUAAAAAUCCAGAAAUACGAAAAUCUCAUUAAUUUAUAGUUGGAAAAUUUUCCAUUUUGCACCUCACAUGCACUGCAGAUCUUGUUCAGCCUGACAAUUUCAUCACAUUAACUCCACUAAUAUUCUAUAUUUUAAAAGCUUUCUGGAAAAGUAAAUCAGCAUCUGAAAUGUGGGUGGUUACACCACUCAUUUUUUUUUCAGCAUAACAGAAAUUGAAGCAACCUAUUUCAAUUUUCUCUGCCCUAGAUUCAGGAAAUGAUGCAAGUUAAUUUCUGUUCAUAUUCAGAAAUAUGAUACCUUGGAAAAGGAUAUUUUCUAGACCUGACCUGAUUACUUACAUCUGGCUCAAAAUACAGGUCUUUCCAGGCACUUCACUACAGAGGGAAAACUGCAAGUGCAGAAUCUGAAACUUCCACACGUCCUUAACGAGGAUAAAACUGGAAAAAAAAAAAACCUACUUCCAAGGUCAGUAUUAACCUAAUGCUUCUGCAGUCAGACUGUAUGGCCUGUGUGUGAGGGAAAAAUGUAGAUGAUGCUCCCUGUUGUGGUGGGACCAGAGCAGGUAGGUGUAAUAGUAAACCAGAAGCAUGAUGCUUUUUCCAGUCUGCUGUCAGGGGUAGUUUCAGAAGGGAGUGGGGCUGGCUGGCAUGAACACCUUGUCCAUUGGCCCGUGCUGCCUCCCAGUGGGCAUCAACUUCUUUUUCGGGGGAAAAGGAAGGGUUUUUUUAAAUGCCCAGUACAGAAACCACUGCCCUCAGACAACUAAUGGGGGAAUUCACUGAUGGCGGCACUUCCGCUGUCUAAAACCAAACUCUUGGGUUUUGUACAGUGUACAGCACUCUGUGAUGAUCUUGGAUGCACGGUUCAUCCAUGGGUUUCUGCAGAACAUAAGCCUGCAUUUAAAAGCAGACAAAAAACACAAACAAACAAACAAACAAGGUUUCUGCAGGCAACUUUACAAAUGUGAAUUCACAUCGUAUUGACUCACACGCAGAAGGCUCUGUCCCUGUCACUCUCAGCUUUGACAAGCAGCAGCAGAGUGGUAUCACAUCACUUGAAUGUAGCCAGUUUUACAGAGCCCUCUGUGCAGUGCUAAAGGUAACUUAUUUUUUCUUCUCACUCUCUUUGAAUGUGCUCACAGCCCCCACAAUGAAAAGGGAUCCCAAAAAUGGACAAUUAAACGGGAGGAAAGAGCACCUUUUGCCACAGUAAGGUCUCCAUAAGGCAGUGAAAAGUUGUAAGGAACACUUCCAUACCUUUUCGACAGCCUACAAAGCUUCACGGUUUGUAGCCCCAACCUGCCCUUUCCUACUCGGCUUGCUAAGCCAAGGGGUCUGCUUAGAGCCAGGCACCUCAACCCUAUGCUUUUCCUAGCUAAAAAAAAAAAACAAUCCCUCCCAGGCUUGUGCUGUUAUCUACCUGGGAACAGUCACAUAAACUUUUGUGUUGGGUUGUUUGUGGGGUUAUUGCAACCUAAAACAGGGGAGGGGCUUUGGGGAAAACACCUCUGGGGACCCCCCUGGGGAAGUCACAGGGCUUUGCAAACACUCCUAAGGAUUAGAGCUGUUGCCCAUGCUUUGAACAAUGUGUUUUUCUAAGUCUUGAGCUGUGCUCUUAAAGAAUGGGAGGGGGGAGGGAGGUGGCAGAUCAUACAGGGCUAUAGCACAAGUUAUAUGAAUAAACAAAGACUUCUGUAUCCAGGUGUGUCCAACUACAAAAGUCAUUUAGGUAUGGGUUGGGGGUUUCUUUUCCUCCAAAGUGAUCCUGUUCAGAGUGUAAUAUACUGUUUUAUUUCUACAGGGCUUAUCAUUGAAGUUAACGCUUAGGAUCCUUGGAUGUGAUAUCCUCACAGUGCACACAAGAAAUAGAUCUGAAAAACAUCAAAGCAAGCGGAUAGCACUGAAUACACAGAAAAAGCAAAAGUAUUACACUGGAAGUACUGUUCUUGCAUCACUCUGCUUUGUGAAGAGCUCACAUUAUCGGGUUUGCAUGCGUGUGUGCACGUGCGAGACUCCUUCAAAGGAGGAAACAGGAUGCCUAACUUUUAGUGCAGAAAAUUAGUAACAAACUACGUGCAAGAUAAGGGCCGAUAACAUCUCUGUAAUCUCGUACUUAAUCUGCUACCCUCAAGAAAAAUCUAUUGACUUUUCGGUGUUAGUCUGCCCAGGCUGCAAACAAUAACUAAUGGGCCUGUGUUACCCUGUGACAAGCACUGGA